rnacentral:rRNA from 1 species
GAUGAACGUUGGCGGCGUGCCUAAUACAUGCAAGUCGAACGAAGACUGUAGUAAUACUGUCUUAGUGGCGAACGGGUGAGUAACGCGUGGGUGACCUGCCCCGAAGUGUGGGAUAACAGUCCGAAAGGAUUGCUAAUACCGCAUAAUAUCCAAGAGAUUAGAUGCUUUUGGAUUAAAGGAGUAAUUCGCUUCGGGAGGGGCCCGCGUCCCAUCAGCUAGUUGGUAAGGUAAUGGCUUACCAAGGCGAUGACGGGUAGGGGACCUGAGAGGGUGGCCCCCCACAAUGGAACUGAAACACGGUCCAUACACCUACGGGUGGCAGCAGUAGGGAAUAUUAGUAAUGGGCGAAAGCCUGACCCAGCCAUGCCGCGUGGGUGAAGAAAUCCUUCGGGAUGUAAAGCCCUGUUGUAUGGGAAGAGCGGAAGACGGUACCAUACGAGGAAGCCCCGGCCAACUACGUG